GGUAACACUGAAUGGAGGACCGAACCUACUUACGUUGAAAAGUGAGCGGAUGAACUGAGGGUAGCGGAGAAAUUCCAAUCGAACCUGGAGAUAGCUGGUUCUCUCCGAAAUAGCUUUAGGGCUAGCCUCAAGUGAUGAUUAUUGGAGGUAGAGCACUGUUUGGACGAGGGGCCCCUCUCGGGUUACCGAAUUCAGACAAACUCCGAAUGCCAAUUAAUUUAACUUGGGAGUCAGAACAUGGGUGAUAAGGUCCGUGUUCGAAAGGAAAACAGCCCAGACCACCAGCUAAGGUCCCAAAAUAUAUGUUAAGUGGAAAAGGAUGUGGCGUUGCCCAGACAACUAGGAUGUUGGCUUAGAAGCAGCCAUCAUUUAAAGAGUGCGUAAUAGCUCACUAGUCGAGUGACACUGCGCCGAAAAUGUACCGGGGCUAAACAUAUUACCGAAGCUGUGGAUUGUCCUUUGGACAAUGGUAGGAG
rnacentral:rRNA from 1 species